GCAGGUUUGUGUGUUGUUGAGAUUUGAUUGACAGCUGUGUGGAUGGUUGUGAUGGUGAUUGUUUCUCUGAAGGAUCCUGCCCUCUGGGGGAGAGGUCAGUGUGAACAUCCAAUCAGCAGGCUGCUUGGGGACGGACACUGAGGUCAACACGCUGGAGCAUGUACAGGUGAAGGUGAGUCUCAGCAGUGUGUGUCGUGGUGACCUCUCCAUAGCCCUAGUGUCCCCAGCGGGCACAGUGUCUCUGCUCCUGGCCACGCGGAGCAACGAUGCCUCGGCCGCCGGCCUGAGGAACUGGACACUGAUGAGCGUCCAGUCCUGGGGGGAACACCCUCACGGCGUCUGGAUACUCAAGAAGAGCCCCUGUAGAGUUUUUGGUCCAUGGGUGCGUACCACCCUGUCCCUCAGGCGGGGCUGUAUGUUCGGGACAGUCACCCACCUCAGGACCUGAUCCAGUGGGCCUUUGAGCUAGAGAGAGACAGGAAGGUGGGCACUGAUGA